rnacentral:rRNA from 1 species
CACGUAGGGGGCAAGCGUUGUCCGGAUUUAUUGGGCGUAAAGAGCUCGUAGGCGGUUCGGUAAGUCGGGUGUGAAACCUCCAGGCUCAACCUGGAGACGCCACCCGAUACUGCUGUGACUAGAGUCCGGUAGGGGAGCGUGGAAUUCCUGGUGUAGCGGUGAAAUGCGCAGAUAUCAGGAGGAACACCAGCGACGAAGGCGGCGCUCUGGGCCGGAACUGACGCUGAGGAGCGAAAGCGUGGGGAGCAAACAGG